AUGAUAAUGUAGUUGUUGGUUUAAGAUUAUAAUUUCAGCUUUCAAAGAAAUUUAAAUGAAUUUUUAAAAAAAGAAUACUUUACAAAUUUGAUUACCUUUCCAAAUUCUUUUGACACAAAAAAAAAAAAAAAUAUGGAAUGAUGCAUUUUUUUUUUUUUUGCAAUGCUUUUUUUUUUUUUGUCUUUUUGUUUGAUAACUGAAUAUUUUCUCCAACUAAUUAUUUUGUAAUUGGCAGUAAACGAAAGCUUAACGAUCUGAAUGAAUCCAUUAUGCCAACACUAAAACCAACACCAUGUGUGUAUGUGUUUAUGUUGGCUUUAUGCUAUAUGUGUGUAUGUAUGUAUAUGUAUAUAUAUUUAUGUGUAUGUGUGUAUAUAUAUAUAUAUAAGAGAAUAAGGUGUACGUACGCCACUAUAAUAUAUAUAUAUAUAUAUAAAAUUACAAAAUGUUUAUGUUGGUUUUAUGCUAUGUGUGUGUAUGUAUGUAUAUAUAUUUAUGCGUAUGUGUAUAUACAUAUAUAUAUAUAAGAGAAUAAGGUGUACGUACGCCACUAUAAUAUAUAUAUAUAUAUAUAUAUAUAUAUAUGUAUAUAUAUUUAUGCGUAUGUGUAUAUACAUAUAUAUAAGAGAAUAAGGUGUACGUACGCCACUAUAAUAUAUAUAUAUAUAUAUAUAUAAAAGUACAAAAUGGGACAAGAACGCAAAACAUUCAUACAGACGAUACCAAAAACACAGAGGGGUCAUUUGAAGCCCCUAAUCUUCAGUCAAGAACCGGAUCAAUCAGCCGAAAUUGCGAGGAUGAUUUGGUUCUUGACUGAAGAUUAGAGGCUACGAAUGACCCGUCCGGGGUUUUUUGUAUCGUCUAUUUGAAUGUUUUGCGUUCUUGUUCCAAUUCGUAUUUUUAUAUAUAUAUACACAUGUAUAUAUAUAUAUAUAUAAUUGUAUGUAUGUAUAUGUGUGUGUAUGUAGUUCUGUUUCUAUUUUUCAAUCACAUGUUUAUUAUGCAAUGGAGGAGAAAUUUAAAAGAAAAAAAAAAACAAACAAAUUCUGAAGAAAUUUAACGUUGGUUUUCAUUGGCCAAAAUUAAUUCUCAACAACCAAAAACCAUUUUCUUUGGCCGAAAUCGUUUAUAUCGCCUAAAACUGUAAUUCCUUGGCCAAAACUAUUUUGAACAGUCAAAACUAAUCAGCUAGAUUCCAGAAACUAAAAUUGCCUGAAAUUUUUUUCACUGCUUUGGCUAGAAUUGCCUGAAAUUUUUUUCAGUGCUUAGGCUAAAAUUGCCUGAAAUUUUUUUCAGUGCUUAGGCUAAAAUUGGAAAUUUUUUUCAGUGCUUAGGCUAAAAUUGCCUGAAAUUUUUUUUCACUGCUUAGGCUAAAAUUGCCUGAAAUUUUUUUCAGUGCUUAGGCUAAAAUUGCCUGAAAUUUUUUUCAGUGCUUAGGCUAAAAUUGCCUGAAAUUUUUUUCAGUGCUUCGGCUAAAAUUGCCUGAAAUUUUUUUCACAGCUUAGGCUGAAAUUGCCUGAAAUUUUUUUCACUGCUUAGGCUAAAAUUGCCUGAAAUUUUUUUACACUGCUUAGGUUAAAAUUGCCUGGAAUUUUUUUUCACUGACCAAAAUUGUUUACAUCGCCUAAAAAAACAUCUUUAACUGGAUAAAAUCAUCUCUGUUCAAAUUUACAAACUUUAAUAUGUUGAGGUUGAAAUUAGUUUCAUCAGCAGAUGGAGAAAAUAAGCAGAGAAUAUUACAAAAAGGUGACUUAGGAGAGUAAAGAAGAAUUCAGGAGUGACACAAAGUAAUGGGGGGGGGGGGGUGAAAAAAAAAAAAAGAAAAGGAGAGAGAGAGAGAAAGAAUUGAAUAAAUAUUCUCCGAAAAAUAGAAACGAGAGAUUAAUCAAGAAAAUAUAUGGAGGAAAAAAAAUUUUUUUGAAAAUAAGAAGGAGCAGUUGAGUCAGGAGUCACAAGGUUGAAUAUUCAGCAGAAUAGAAACAGCAGGUUGAUGUGUGUGUGUGUUUGUGUUGGGAGGGAGUGUGUAGAUGUAUGCACAUAUGUAUGUAUAUAUAUGUACAUGCAUAUAUAUAUAUAUACAUAUGUAUAUGUGUGUGCACAUAUAUAUAUGUGCAUAUAUACACACAUGUAUGCACCUAUAUGUAUGAUGUAUGCAUAUAUAUAUAUAUAUAUACAUAUACACAC
rnacentral:lncRNA from 1 species